rnacentral:rRNA from 1 species
UACAGAGGUCUCAAGCGUUGUUCGGAUUCAUUGGGCGUAAAGGGUGCGUAGGCGGCGCGGUAAGUCGGGUGUGAAAUCUCGGGGCUUAACUCCGAAACUGCAUUCGAUACUGCGGUGCUUGAGGACUGGAGAGGAGACUGGAAUUCAUGGUGUAGCAGUGAAGUGCGUAGAGAUCAUGAGGAAGACCAGUGGCGAAGGCGGGUCUCUGGACAGUUCCUGACACUGAGACACGAAGGCCAGGGGAGCAAACGGG